rnacentral:lncRNA from 1 species
UUGUUGCUUUGGUUGACAUUUGUUAGACUUUCUUGAUCUUGAAGUCUUGUGCACAAUUUGAUUCGGAUAGUGAUGAAACAAUGUCACGGGUUUCUUGAUAAAUUGGCGUUGACUUUUUGGGUGAUCAUCAAUCGUGUAACAUGCUCAAGUUGUACUCUUCAAAUCUUGUUUUAGGCAAGUGGGUUUGAAGAUAUUUGUGAUGAUUUUGAGCUUUUGGGGUUGAAUUUGGUGUUGUUUAUGUGUAAACGGAUGAAUCUGGGGUGGAAUCAAAGCUUAUAGAUAAUGGGAAUCAAGAAAAGGGUGGGGAGAAAGUGGAAGAUGAAGAUGAUGAAUCAAAGAAACUGUUGUUGCCUAACAAGGUGGAGAGUGGUCUGUGUUUUGAAAGAGAGAAGAGGUGAGAAGAGGUGGGCUUAUGUCUGCGUGGGGAAGAGGUGGGGAAGAAGUAAAAGGUGAGAAGUGCUUCUGGAAAACAAACAAGCUGCAGGACCCAAAGGUCUGCGCGUGUCUGCGCGAUGCAGACAUAAGUGGCCAGAAGUGCUUCUGACCAAAAAAACAAACAACACCUAAUUACCCUUGUGAGAUCUGAUAAAAAAAUCUAACUGAGUUAGGAUUAAAAGACAUAAUAUGCAAGGAUUUUGAAACGUUAAGUACAAAACUCCUCAAAUUUUGCGACAAAGAACACCGCCUGUAAAAUGGUAUGAAA